CAUUGCAGAAGAAUCGGCUCAGUCAUCCGGAACGAUUUGGUCUCGUUUUGAACUGGGUUCUACCUAGUUUAAUGUUUACAUUCUUUAUGCAGGUACAUUUCGUGUAUACAGCAGCAAAAUGGUUUUGCUGUUCCGAAGAAAUGGAAUAAAGUUUAAUUUGAUCUUAAGUUUAAGUUAAAUUCUGUGUGAUGCAAUGUAUGUUCUGUGAAUGUUUUAGUAGUUGACAUUAAAUAAUUGUGUUGUUUCAAUGAAUUAUUGAUGUGCAAUCUAGUGAAUUGAAAAUUGUUCUGAAUUAUGUCAAUAGAGAGUUUGACAGAAUAACAGUUAAAGUACACCAAUAGAUCGGCGGUCUAUUUAAAAAAGCAAAAAGACAUAUAUGACUGAGACACAUACAUAAUAAUCGCCAUUGAUGAAACAUGGACUUGGACCAGAGUUUUCUGUCAGAGCUGCCACUGCAGCAUCGUCAGAAAGUCUGCAAGCAGAUCAGACAGAAGCAGAUUGAGAAGUAUGUGACGUUCAUACACUCAGAGAGGGGUCGUGAGUUGGAGCCACGCAAGACUAAUAAGAAGCGUGCCAACGUGAGAUUCUCCACGGACCAUCUGUUACAGAAUGCCAUUGAU